UACGUAGGGUGCAAGCGUUGUCCGGAAUUAUUGGGCGUAAAGAGCUCGUAGGCGGUCUGUCGCGUCGGAUGUGAAAACCCAGGGCUCAACCCUGGGCCUGCAUUCGAUACGGGCAGACUAGAGUUCGGUAGGGGAGACUGGAAUUCCUGGUGUAGCGGUGAAAUGCGCAGAUAUCAGGAGGAACACCGGUGGCGAAGGCGGGUCUCUGGGCCGUAACUGACGCUGAGGAGCGAAAGCGUGGGGAGCGAACAGG
rnacentral:rRNA from 1 species